UAGAUACCCUAUUAUUUGAAAUGUAAUUUAUUUACUAAAGUAGUAAUAGUUAUGUUCUUGAAACUUAAAAAAUUUGGCGGUAUUUUAGUCUAUUCAGAGGAACCUGUCCUGUAAUCGAUAAUCCACGAUGGACCUUAUUUAAAUUUGUUUAUCAGUUUAUAUACCGUCGUUAUAAGAAUAUUUUAUAAGAACAAUAAUUUUCUAGAAUUUUUAUAAAAAUUUAUAUCAGAUCAAGGUGUAGCUUAUGUUUAAAUAGAGAUGGGUUACAAUAAAUUUAUUUACACGAAUUAAUUUUUGAAAUAAGAUUAUGAAGGUGGAUUUGAAUGUAAAAUUGUAAAGAUAAACAAUUUGAUUUUAGCU
rnacentral:rRNA from 1 species